CCCUUAGAUGUUCUGGGCCGCACGCGCGCUACGCUGAUGCAUUCAACGAGUCUAAAACCUGCUCUGAUAGGGGUGGGUAAUCUUUUGAAUGUGCAUCGUGAUUGGGAUAGAUGAUUGCAAUUUUUCAUCUUCAACGAGGAAUGCCUAGUAAACGCAAGUCAUCAGCUUGCAUUGAUUACGUCCCUGCCCUUUGUACACACCGCCCGUCGCUCCUACCGAUUGAAUGAUCCGAUGAAUAUCAUGGAUUGAGGAUGCAAGCAGGUUCGCCUGUCUUCAUCUUCGAGAAGUGAAGUAAAUCUUAUCAUUUAGAGGAAGGAGAAGUCGUAACA
rnacentral:rRNA from 1 species